AAUUGAUGCUAUCGGUCCACAACGUUGGAGCACCUAUCUAGGAGGUCUGAAAGUGACCUGCACCUUCCUGCUCAAUUGCUCCGUCGUGCUACUCGAGAAAUCACCUUGGUCGAUAGGACGUCGACCCACAUUUGUAAGCCUAUGAAGCAGGAUAUAGCCUAUAACAUCCGAAGUGAAUCGAGCAAACAUGGAACAAUUCUUUUAAAAUCUAUGAUCUCGUGCAGGAUAAUAUCCAGUGGAUGUCAGAAAGGAUCAAGAAGAAUCCGGAUGAUAAGUUUUGGGAUGAAGUUAACAAAGGCCUUCUGCAUGUUCAAGGAUUGGAAGAUGGAUAUAUUAAUCUUGCGGUUUACAACCCUACGAUUCGUCUCAGACCUUUUGGUUUCUAUCUUUUCCAACUUGGAGGGGAUUUAGAAGAUCUGGAAGUUGAGGAGCCGUUAAAACGCAGAGCAUUCGGGUCUGGGCAUUGCUCUGCUUUCGUCAAAAUAGUCACUGACAAAACUGGUAAAAAAGAUUUCUUUUCUGCCAUGAUACUUUGUCGUCAUUCGAAAGCAUGCUUCGUAUCAUGAAACGAUAUAAUUCUGUUCUCACUCGGAAUCUUUUUCUAGUUUAUCUGGAUCUGUGGUUUUUGCAGAUAAUUUCUACGUUUUUGCAACGGGGUUGGUAACCAUGGAAACUGCAAAUGGCAACUCGAACUCUGAUUUGUGGGAAUUCGUCACGCCAGAAACUGUCUCUGAGUGGCUGAAAAACAUCGCAGUACGCAAAUGUGUCUCAUCUCGGAAUGCCUGAUAGGUUUAAUUUAACCAUCUGUUGUUUUUAUGGGAUAAAUAAAGUCAAGUCUAUGCUAAAACUUAAGAUUUUAAACUAUUUUUAUCGUUUUUAAUCAUAAUUUAUAAAUUUUUACUCAGAUUCAUUUAAUAUGUAUUCAUUACUGGUAUAUUAAUGCUGAAUUAUCGUUUUAUAUUGAACCGUGCCUUUGCUGUAAGUGAGUUUAUGAUACUUCUCUAAUACGUAGCUAAGCCGCUAUAAAUCUUAAGACUAUUUAAUGGAUUUUUUGUUGUCAUGUGUCCAUAAAUUCCCUUUACAAUUCCAAUAUGGUUAUGAAGUCAGUUCCCAAUAUAUCUUAACCAGGUAUAUUGUUUUUUAUUCAAUAAAUGUUCAAGUAAUUUCACUUCAUUUAAUACAUCUGUGAGGGCCAAUCCAAUAUUUGGUAUCUAUGAAUUUUAAGUAAAUUUAAGACUUUAUGGAUACCUAUCUAUCUAUCUUGUUUUAUGUGUGGCUCCCAUAUCACUUAAUUUUUGCGUCAGCAGCCCUUUACUAAGCGAGUUAUUUAACCACUGAUAAGCACUGACGUUUUUUUAGAGAGACUCGAAUCUUCCUGUUUCAGCUUGGCCAAACCCAAGUGGGGUAGAUUUGACCUGCAUUGGGGGUAAAUUUCCAAAUUUGCGGCGAAAAUUUUUCAAAUUUGCUACAAGAAAAUAAAAACUUAAGAACCCCUAAACCAAUUUCCUAUUUUAUCAACCUACUCAGACUAUCACUGAUACUAUAGUUGUAACAACUAACCAGUUUUAGGAGAUCAUUAUCUCAAUUUCGUAUGAAUCCAAUGCUCACAUUUCCUGAGGUUGUUUUACGAAAGAUAAUAAUUUGUGCAAUUGAAGUUUUUGCCUAUGAACGGUUCUUAUUUAUGUUAUUUUGCUCAAAGCUGGUAGGAUAGAUUUGAGCUGUCAAUGGCAAACUAGACUUCCUCGAUUAUGCAGAUCAGUGUUUCUCAAACUUUUUAGGCAUCGCGCCGCUUUUUAUAAUUUUCAAGUCUCGCGCUCCACCUCAAAAAGAAUUAGCUAACAAUAAACUACAUAUACCAGAUGAUAAAGCGAAAUUAUGUUUUAUUCAAAAAACACAUCGUAAAUCUCCUGAAAAGGCGGGCAAGAUCAAAUCUAACAAAUUUGCGCCUCGUCGUUUGAGAACCACUGAUAUAGAGGUUUUUUCCUUCUUUGCGACUUGAUGAACCUCAAGUUUAUACUGUUAGGAAGGAAUCUAAAAGAAGCGUUUCAAAAUUUGGACCUACUGAAGUAUGCGCACCAAGAUGGCGCACAAACUGAACUCAGGUUGUGAACCAGGUGAGGGUUCAGGUUGUGCAAAUUUUUGGUGCGCAUACUUCAGGAGUACCCAAAAUUUGUUUUUUGUCAAAAUCUGAGUCAAAAUUUUUUGCAGCGCAGAGUCGGUUGGGAAUCUAUAUUUUUUUAAUCAGAAGUCAAUAGCCGAUUGUAAAUUGCCCCCAUUUACAGCCCCCCUUUUAACCCCACUCUGUAUCAAUUAUUAUAGGAUUACUAUUAUAUAAUAUUCAUUUUUAGAUAUCGUGCUAUUUUCAUUUUUAAAAUGAAAUUCUGUAACAGUAUUUCAUUAUGAUUCAUUUUUAAUGUAAAGAUUUAUUGCAACAAAUUCAUCAUAUGCAAAAUAUAACUGCUUUGCGUACUUUA